AUUACAUUCGCUGAUUUUCAAAUGUUGAGACAGCCCUGCAUAACUGGGAUACAUUCCACUUGGCUCUGUAGGCACUAUUAUCCUCACUGAAACCGAGAGACCCAGCAGAUAAAGAACUUGUCUACGGCUAUGCAGCCAGGGAUGAAAACGAAUCAAGUGACUGAAAGAGAAGAAAGUUUCAGAUGACAGGAGUGACGUGCAAAGGUACAGACGCUUGAGGAAGCAUGGUAGGUAGAUUUGAGGCUGCAAGCUUCUUUCCUUCCUUCACAGGCACAUUUCUUGAAAGGUAAUAUCUACCCCCUGCCUUCAUUUUCGUUUCCUUAUUAGUUCAAGAAAUAUUUACUGAGCUCCUUGGUGACUACCCAGUCUUUCCUUGAUGACCUGAAAUUUGACCCUGUCCCUUCUAUUCAACUUGCCAACAACCUUUUUACUGCUGUAAUAAGAGGCCAUUUUUUUAUAAUACUCAUUUUCUUCUGAUUAUAAAAGUAAAUUCAGAUUGUGGUGAUGGUAUACAAUUCUGUAAAUCUGUUAAAAAUCAUUGAACUGGACACAAAACAAGAAUGUCUCCAAAUGUAAAUUAUACUUCAAUAAAGAUGGGUUUUUUUAAGUAAAUAAAUGCUCAUUGUAGAAAAACCAAGAAAUAGAAAGAAAUACAUAUGGUGACUAUCUCCUGUAAUCUAUCACCGCAUGUAGCUAGUGAUUUUUCGGUGCAAUGUUUUUGCACAUUACCUGGAUAUUUCUGAAGUCUUAAACCUGAUAUUUUCUUCUACUCAGCCCUGCCCAGCUUGUCAUUCUACCUUCCCUGCCUCGUGGGAAAGUAUAGAAAAAGCAAAGGAGGUUGGGCACAGUAGCUCACGACUGUAAUCCCAGUGCUUUGGGAGGACGAGGCAGGUGGAUCACCUGAGGUCAG
rnacentral:lncRNA from 10 species